UACGUAGGGGGCUAGCGUUAUCCAGAUUUACUGGGCGUAAAGCGCGUGUAGGCGGCUGGUUAGGUGUGAUGUGAAAUCUUCGGGCUCAACCCGAAAACUGCAUUGCAAACCGGCCUGGCUAGAGUGCAGGAGAGGGAAGCGGAAUUCCAGGUGUAGCGGUGAAAUGCGUAGAUAUCGUCUGGAACGCCGAAGGUGAAAACAGCUCGCUGGGGCUGCGCUGACGCUGAGACACGAAAGCCAGGGGAGCGAACGGG
rnacentral:rRNA from 1 species